GAUGAAGAACGUAGCGAAUUGCGAUACGUAGUGUGAAUUGCAGAAUUCAGUGAAUCAUCGAAUCUUUGAACGCACAUUGCACCUCUCGGUAUUCCGGGAGGUAUGCCUGUUCGAGCGUCAUUUGUACCCUCAAGCUCUGCUUGGUGUUGGGUGUUUGUUCCGCCUCUGUGUGUGAACUCGCCUCAAAACAAUUGGCAGCCGGCGUACUUGUUUCGGAGCGCAGCACAUUUUGCGAUCCAGAUCAACGUACAGCGGCAUCCAAGAAGCCUUAUUUAACGCUCUUGACCUCGGAUCAGGUAGGGAUACCCGCUGAACUUAAGCAUAUCAAUAAGCGGAGGA
rnacentral:misc_RNA from 1 species